CCAAAAACAUAGCCCUUAAACCUCAAUUAAAGGUGAAACCUGCCCAAUGAUUUGAAUAAUUUCUUAACAAAAAUAGGAAAAAUUAAAUGGCUGCAGUAACUAUGACUGUAUGAAUGUAGCAUAAUCAUUCGCCACUUAAUUAGUGGAUAGUAUGAAUGGUCAAACGAGAAUCUCCCUGUCUCAUAAAAUAAACAAAAAAUUUAAAUCAUAGUUAAGAUGCUAUGUAAAAUUGUAAGACGAAAAGACCCUAUAAAGCUUAACUAUAAUUUCUCAGAAAUCUUCAAACAGAAGUACCAUAAAAGAGAAAAAGGUAGUUUCAUUGGGGCGAUGGUCUCUAAAAACAAACAGAGACAAACUAUAUUAAUAAAAAAAAAAAUUUACUGUAUAAUUAAUUUAUUUAACAGUUACAAAGUAGGUUAUAUUGACCCAUUAUUAUCUCAAAAAAGAAAUAAUGAUUUUUAAAUAAAAGCUACUUUAGGGAUAACAGGAUAAUUUUUCUUAAGAGCCCACAUCAAAAGAAAAGUUUAUCACCUCGAUGUUGAAUUAAGGUAACUCAAUGAUGCAGAAGUCAUUAAAAGUAGGUC
rnacentral:rRNA from 1 species